AGUUUAUACCGUAGCUUGCUACACCAUAGACUGUGAGUUGCGAACGGGUGAGUAACGCGUAGGUAACCUGCCUGGUAGCGGGGGAUAACUAUUGGAAACGAUAGCUAAUACCGCAUAAUAUUAAUUAUUGCAUGAUAAUUGAUUGAAAGGUGCAAUUGCACCACUACCAGAUGGACCUGCGUUGUAUUAGCUAGUAGGUGAGGUAACGGCUCACCUAGGCGACGAUACAUAGCCGACCUGAGAGGGUGAUCGGCCACACUGGGACUGAGACACGGCCCAGACUCCUACGGGAGGCAGCAGUAGGGAAUCUUCGGCAAUGGACGAAAGUCUGACCGAGCAACGCCGCGUGAGUGAAGAAGGUUUUCGGAUCGUAAAGCUCUGUUGUAAGAGAAGAACGGGUGUGAGAGUGGAAAGUUCACACUGUGACGGUAUCUUACCAGAAAGGGACGGCUAACUACGUGCCAGCAGCCGCGGUAAUACGUAGGUCCCGAGCGUUGUCCGGAUUUAUUGGGCGUAAAGCGAGCGCAGGCGGUUAGAUAAGUCUGAAGUUAAAGGCUGUGGCUUAACCAUAGUACGCUUUGGAAACUGUUUAACUUGAGUGCAGAAGGGGAGAGUGGAAUUCCAUGUGUAGCGGUGAAAUGCGUAGAUAUAUGGAGGAACACCGGUGGCGAAAGCGGCUCUCUGGUCUGUAACUGACGCUGAGGCUCGAAAGCGUGGGGAGCGAACAGGAUUAGAUACCCUGGUAGUCCACGCCGUAAACGAUGAGUGCUAGGUGUUAGGCCCUUUCCGGGGCUUAGUGCCGCAGCUAACGCAUUAAGCACUCCGCCUGGGGAGUACGACCGCAAGGUUGAAACUCAAAGGAAUUGACGGGGGCCCGCACAA
rnacentral:rRNA from 1 species